rnacentral:rRNA from 1 species
GAUGAACGCUGGCGGCGUGCCUAAUACAUGCAAGUCGAGCGAACAGACGAGGAGCUUGGUCCUCUGACGUUAGCGGCGGACGGGUGAGUAACACGUGGAUAACCUACCUAUAAGACUGGGAUAACUUCGGGAAACCGGAGCUAAUACCGGAUAAUAUAUUGAACCGCAUGGUUCAAUAGUGAAAGACGGUUUUGCUGUCACUUAUAGAUGGAUCCGCGCCGCAUUAGCUAGUUGGUAAGGUAACGGCUUACCAAGGCAACGAUGCGUAGCCGACCUGAGAGGGUGAUCGGCCACACUGGAACUGAGACACGGUCCAGACUCCUACGGGAGGCAGCAGUAGGGAAUCUUCCGCAAUGGGCGAAAGCCUGACGGAGCAACGCCGCGUGAGUGAUGAAGGUCUUCGGAUCGUAAAACUCUGUUAUUAGGGAAGAACAAAUGUGUAAGUAACUAUGCACGUCUUGACGGUACCUAAUCAGAAAGCCACGGCUAACUACGUG